GGGAGUGAAAUAGAACCUGAAACCCUGCACUUACAAGCUGUGGAAGCACAUUUCUUGUGUGACCGCGUACUUUUUGUAGAACGGGCCAACGAGUUACGUUAAGUAGCAAGGUUAAGCACUUAAGGUGUGGAGCCGUAGCGAAAGCGAGUUUUAACUGAGCGUUCAGUUACUUGACGUAGACCCGAAACCGGGCGACCUACCCAUGAGCAGGAUGAAGCGAAAGUAAAAUUUCGUGGAGGUCCGAACCCACGAGCGUUGAAAAGCUCGGGGAUGACUUGUGGGUAGCGGUGAAAUUCCAAUCGAGCCCGGAGAUAGCUGGUUCUCCCCGAAAUAGCUUUAGGGCUAGCCUCAAGGUGAGAGAUACGGAGGUAGAGCACUG
rnacentral:rRNA from 1 species